rnacentral:rRNA from 1 species
AUUGAACGCUGGCGGCAGGCCUAACACAUGCAAGUCGAGCGGAGCGGCGGCCGGGUGAGUAAUGCUUAGGAAUCUGCCUGUUAGUGGGGGAUAACGUACGGAAACGGACGCUAAUACCGCAUACUAUCAGAUGAACAUAAGUCGGAUUAGCUAGUUGGUGGGGUAAAGGCCUACAAAGGCGACGAUCGGUAACUGGUCUGAGAGGAUGAUCGGCCACACUGGGAUGGGGACCAGUCCCAGACUCCUACGGGAGGAGUCAGUGGGAAAUAGUGGACAAUGGGCGAAAGCUUGAUCCGGCCAUGCCGGGGGUGUGAAGAAGGCCUGUGGUUUGUAAAGUACUUUAGCUCGGGAGGCGUUACUCACAGAAUAAGCACCGGCUAACGCCGUGCCAGCAGCCGCGGUAAUUC